GUCUUUUUAGUAGUUUAAUAUAAAGUCUGACCUGCCCACUGAAUAGUGUUUAAAGGGCCGCAGUAUUUUGACUGUGCAAAGGUAGCAUAAUCAUUAGUCUUUUAAUUGAAGGCUGGUAUGAAUGGUUGGAUGAGGUACAAGCUGUGUCAUAAAAAUUAAUAUUUGAAUUUACCUUUUUAGUCAAAAGGCUAAAAUAGUUUUAAAAGACGAGAAGACCCUAUAGAGCUUUAUAUAAUAAAUAUUUAAAUUAUUAAGAUUUAUUAAAUUUAGUUUUUGUAUUAUAUUUUGUUGGGGUGACAAUAAAAUUUAUAAAACUUUUAUUUUUAUUUUACAUUGAUUUAUGAUUAUAUGAUCCAGUUUUAUUGAUUAUAAAUUUAAGUUACCUUAGGGAUAACAGCGUAAUUUUUUUUGAGAGUUCUUAUCGACAAAAAAGAUUGCGACCUCGAUGUUGGAUUAAGAGUAAUUUUGGGUGUAGAAGUUCAAAGUUUAAGUCUGUUCGACUUUUAAAUUCUUACAU
rnacentral:rRNA from 1 species